UGCGGCCGCCGGCGGGCUGCGUAGUGACGCAGGCGCGAGACUGUGCGGUGGCAGCCAUGGCGGACGGUUGCGAUGAGGCUGCUCCUGGGUCUCGCGGCUAUCCAAGACCAUUGAGGGUCCCCGGCGGCGCCUGCCGUCUGCUGAGGCUGGGUGAGAGUCACAGGAACUGGGGGCCCUGCUGGGUUGCGAGGUCAGGGAUUUCGGGCCCGGUGGGAGCGGGCGCGCCCCCCUAAGUUAUCCCGCCCCUGGCCCUGUCGGUUGGGUACUCGCUGCGGGUGUUCGGCCCGGGCCAUUCCGUCCUGGGCUUGGCUGGGACGCGGGAAGGUGGCUCUAACUGAGCUUCUGAAGAUUCCUUUGGAAAUACACGUGCGGCCUUGGCGAGUGCCGCUUGAGGUGGGGAAAUGGGGUCGUGGGGAUGGCCUCCUAGGCGAAAACCAAGGUGGGGGCGGGACAUGAGGACUGGCUUGAGCUGACCACGUGGCCCUUGCAGGUGGACUCCUCUGCGGCAGAUCUCCUGUAAGAUGUGCUGGUUAAGGCUUCUGGCAGAUUCGGGUCAGUCCCAAGUGCGACCGGUCUUCUGGGGCUGCCGUCCGCAGACCCUUCUCGCAUCCACGUACCUGGCGGCCUCCCUCAUCGCGUGCUGUUGGUAGGGGGGCGAGUCAGGCCCUGUACACGUCCUGACAGGCACCCGGCCCACCCCCAGCCAACUGUGCGCUGUGUUCCUGCCCCAGCACGAGACCUGUGGGGUGUCCGCGGCAGAAGAUGUCAGAGCUGGAAGAGACCUGAGAGGCGAUCCCUUGGUGGGUGAUGGGUUCUUCCGGGAAUCUGGUGGUUUGCGCGCCUUGUCGUCUGCUUCCAGAACAAGGAUCUUCGCUGUACGCCAAGACCCAGACCCCUCUGACAUCGGAAUGACAAGUGGGAUAUUUAAUAAAACAGUUUCAAAUUUGGAGUCAGUCCAGCCUCUGUUGUUUUCUCUUUUCUGUGUUAGCUGCAAAGGGGAAGAAGACCCCGCCCUUGAAGGAGUUUCAGCCAAGUGUGAGGCAUCCCUAGGGUGUCUCCCAUUUUGUUGCUUGUGUCUUUGUAAAGUGCCCAGUGGGUGAUAGAGCAUCAGGAUCUGUACCUUGGGAUCCCAGAGUGGGUUCCGGUGGUUUGACGGGGUCUCCGCCCCGUCCUCUUCAGUGUGGGUCACACUGGGUCACACACUAGAGUAUCCAGACCUCCGCCUGUGGGUUGAUGCCUUAAGAAUGCAUGACCCUCGUGGUC
rnacentral:lncRNA from 1 species